GGAUGGGCCGUGUGUUGGCGAACACAACCGGACACCUCUAGGGUCCGGCGGCUGCGAGGCCUUUGCGGGUUCGAAUCCCGCCCCAUCCG
rnacentral:tRNA from 1 species